AUGAAAAGGGACACCUAUAAGAAAAUCAGAGAGAUGGCAACAUUGCUGACCAUUAUGGUUUUUGUGGCAGUUAUUUUUCCGUUGCUAUUCUAUGUGACACUAAAUCCUCCAAUUAUUGUUAUUGUCUGGUAUUGCAUUAUCACUUAUGGUGCCAUCUUGUACUCUCUUUGUAUGCUAUUUACGUUUGGUGAAUUUAGCAAACAAUGCAUAGCAUGUCCAAAUGAAUGGGAAAAUAUUACAAUGUAA